GAUGAAGAACGCAGCGAAAUGCGAUAAGUAGUGUGAAUUGCAGAAUUCAGUGAAUCAUCGAAUCUUUGAACGCACAUUGCGCCCCUUGGUAUUCCAUGGGGCAUGCCUGUUCGAGCGUCAUUUGUACCUUCAAGCUCUGCUUGGUGUUGGCUGUUUGUCUCGCCUCUGCGUGUAGACUCGCCUCAAAACAAUUGGCAGCCGGCGUAUUGAUUUCGGAGCGCAGUACAUCUCGCGCUUUGCACUCAUAACGACGACGUCCAAAAGUACAUUUUUACACUCUUGACCUCGGAUCAGGUAGGGAUACCCGCUGAACUUAAGCAUAUCAAUAAGCGGAGGA
rnacentral:misc_RNA from 1 species